rnacentral:rRNA from 1 species
UACAGAGGUCUCGAGCGUUAGGCGGAAUCACUGGGCUUAAAGCGUGUGUAGGUGGAUGCCUAAGUACCUGUGAAAUCCCACAGCUUAACUGUGGAACUGCUUGGUAUACUGGGUGUCUUGAGUCACUCAGGGGCGAUCGGAACAAAUGGUGGAGCGGUGAAAUGCGUAGAUAUCAUUUGGAACGCCAAUGGUGAAAACAGCUCGCUGGGGGUGUACUGACACCGAGACACGAAAGCCAGGGGAGCGAACGGG